rnacentral:pre_miRNA from 1 species
CUAGCUUUGUUCAAGUUAAACUUCUCUAUAUUUGACCAAGUCUAUAAAAAAGUGCUAAUAUCUACCGCAUCAAAUAUAUAUAUAGUACAAAAAUAUAUUUUAUGAUGAAUCUAAUGAAGCUAAUUUGGUGUUGUAGAUGUUGAUAUAUUUUUCUUAGACUUGGUCAAACUUGGAGAAAUUUGACUUAGCACAAAGCUAAA